AGUGAACGCUGGCGGUAGGCCUAACACAUGCAAGUCGAGCGGCAGCACAGUAAGAGCUUGCUCUUACGGGUGGCGGGUGGCGGACGGGUGAGGAAUACAUCGGAAUCUACUUUUUCGUGGGGGAUAACGUAGGGAAACUUACGCUAAUACCGCAUACGACCUACGGGUGAAAGCAGGGGAUCUUCGGACCUUUCGCGAUUGAAUGAGCCGAUGUCGGAUUAGCUAGUUGGCGGGGUAAAGGCCCACCAAGGCGACGAUCCGUAGCUGGUCUGAGAGGAUGAUCAGCCACACUGGAACUGAGACACGGUCCAGACUCCUACGGGAGGCAGCAGUGGGGAAUAUUGGACAAUGGGCGAAAGCCUGAUCCAGCCAUACCGCGUGGGUGAAGAAGGCCUUCGGGUUGUAAAGCCCUUUUGUUGGGAAAGAAAAGCAGCAGGUUAAUACCCCGCUGUUCUGACGGUACCCAAAGAAUAAGCACCGGCUAACUUCGUG
rnacentral:rRNA from 1 species